ACGGCAUCAGCAACAAUGGACAAGAACUAAAAGAAUAGUAAGAUAUGGGAUGUAAAGCUUAUUAGACGGUACAAUGUCAUCUCCUGGUCUCAAUAUGUAUUCAGGAUAGCCAGGUAGGGUGAAGUCCAAGCAAAGAUCUUCAAUACGGGAUCCACGUAAACAUAAAUCAGAAAUCACGCUACUGUUGUCACCACCUUCUGCUUCCAGAUAGUGCUUACGGCCAACAAGAACACGAAGCUCUUGCAAAGUCUUGCCAAGUUCAGCAUCAAAUAAUAUAACAUCAUGCAAAUCAAGCUCCUGUUCAGGUGAGAAAAGAAAAAGAAAUUACGAACAACGUAAAGAAGUGUCGAAACUACUAGUCCACUCUUAGCUAAAUAAAAAAAGUUACUGAUAGUAAAAAAACUCACUUGACCAAGAAUGAGCUUAUAAAAAGCUGUACUUCAGGAAAAGUAAGAGACAAAGCGGAGAGUCUGUGAAACUGCUAACCUGAUUGAAUCCAGAUCUGAAGGCUUCAAUCUGCCGGGCAACUCCUCUCUUGACAGUGGCAUCAACGACCAGGGAUAUAUAGUCCUCAAGACUAUUAAUAUCAACCUGUAAUAGAACAGAAAACAGUACACGGCAUCAGCAACGAUGGGCAAGAACUAAAAGAAUAGUAAGAUAUGGGAUGUAAAGCUUAUUAGACGGUACAAUGUCAUCUCCUGGUCUCAAUAUGUAUUCAGGAUAGCCAGGUAGGGUGAAGUCCAAGCAAAGAUCUUCAAUACGGGAUCCACGUAAACAUAAAUCAGAAAUCACGCUACUGUUGUCACCACCUUCUGCUUCCAGAUAGUGCUUACGGCCAACAAGAACACG
rnacentral:lncRNA from 1 species